AUGGUACAUGGACUCAGGCGCUUCCGCUCACAUGACCGGCAAUCAGGGACUUCCGCACCAAGAACGAGAUCGUCAGGUGCAAUAGUUUCCGGCGAACUCUACCCUUUCUGGUGGCCAUCUUCCACUCCGCAAGCUCUCUCCGCCACCACGUCAUCCUUAACAUUGUGGCAUCGUCGCCUAGGCCAUCUCAGUAGUCAAGCUUUGUCGCACCUAGCAUGUGCCUUUUCUUUUCCUUGUCACAAAAACAAUAACGAUGACCAUUUAUGUCAUGCUUGUCAAUUAGGAAAACAUGUUCGCCUACCUUUUGAUACAUCUACUACCCAGACUACUUGUCCGUUUCAACUCAUCCAUUGUGAUUUGUGGACUUCG
rnacentral:rRNA from 1 species